rnacentral:rRNA from 1 species
AGGACGAACGCUGGCGGCGUGCUUAACACAUGCAAGUCGAACGGAGUCCAUCCGGUAGCAAUACCGGUGAAGGCUUAGUGGCGAACGGGUGAGUAACACGUGAGCAACCUGCCCCGAAGACCGGGAUAACAGCGGGAAACCGCUGCUAAUACCGGAUGUCCCCACCGGACCGCAUGGCCUGGUGAGGAAAGCCUUUACGCUUCGGGAGGGACUCGCGGCCUAUCAGCUUGUUGGUGAGGUAACGGCCCACCAAGGCGACGACGGGUAGCUGGUCUGAGAGGACGAUCAGCCACACUGGGACUGAGACACGGCCCAGACUCCUACGGGAGGCAGCAGUGGGGAAUCUUGCGCAAUGGGCGAAAGCCUGACGCAGCAACGCCGCGUGCGGGAUGAAGGCCUUCGGGUUGUAACCGCUUUCAAGCAGGGACGAUAAUGACGGUACCUGCAGAAGAAGCUCCGGCCAACUACGCGCCAGCAGCCGCGGU